AACGAACGCUGGCGGCGCGCUUAACACAUGCAAGUCGAACGAGAAGGCGUAGCAAUACGCUUGUACAGUGGCGAACGGGUGAGUAAUACGUGGGCGACCUACCCUCGAGUGGGGAAUAACCCGCCGAAAGGCGGGCUAAUGCCGCGUACGCUUCCAUCUUUAUGGAGGUGGAAGGAAAGCCGUGCCGUGGGCACGGCGCUCAAGGAUGGGCUCACGUCCUAUCAGCUUGUUGGUAGGGAACGGCCUACCAAGGCUCCGACGGGUAGCUGGUCUGAGAGGACGAUCAGCCACACUGGCACUGCGACACGGGCCAGACUCCUACGGGAGCAGCAGUGAGGAAUAUUGCGCAAUGGGCGAAAGCCUGACGCAGCGACGCCGCGUGGGGGAUGAAGGUCUUCGGAUUGUAAACCCCUUUCGGGAGGGAGAUGGGACGGGCGAACCGUUCGGACGGUACCUCCAGAAGCAGCCACGGCUAACUUCGUGCCAGCAGCAGCCGCAGUAAU
rnacentral:rRNA from 1 species